rnacentral:rRNA from 1 species
UACGUAGGGGGCGAGCGUUGUCCGGAAUCAUUGGGCGUAAAGCGCGUGUAGGCGGCUUGGUAAGUCCGGUGUGAAACCUUGGGGCUCAACCCCAAGCCUGCACUGGAUACUGCCUCGCUUGAGUCUGGGAGGGGAGAGCGGAAUUCCUAGUGUAGCGGUGAAAUGCGCAGAUAUUAGGAAGAACACCGGUGGCGAAGGCGGCUCUCUGGAACGGUACUGACGCUGAGACGCGAAAGCGUGGGGAGCAAACAGG